GUUAUAUGGUCAAGUGAAUAAGCGCAUACGGUGGAUGCCUAGGCGGUAAGAGGCGAAGAAGGACGUGGCAGCCUGCGAAAAGCUUCGGGGAGGUGGCAAACAACCUAUGAUCCGGAGAUGUCCGAAUGGGGCAACCCAGCCGGUUUUAACCGGUUAUCGCCGACUGAAUACAUAGGUCGGCGAGGCGAACCCAGGGAACUGAAACAUCUAAGUACCUGGAGGAAAAGAAAUCAACCGAGAUUCCCUUAGUAGUGGCGAGCGAACGGGGAGCAGCCCUUAAGCAUCAUUGUUUUUAGUAGAAGCGUCUGGAAAGUCGCACCAUAGAGGGUGAUAGUCCCGUAUACGAAAGGAACGUUGGUGUGAAGACGAGUAGGGCGAGGCACGUGAAACCUUGUCUGAACAUGGGGGGACCAUCCUCCAAGGCUAAAUACUCCUUACCGACCGAUAGUGAACCAGUACCGUGAGGGAAAGGCGAAAAGAACCGCGGUGAGCGGAGUGAAAUAGAACCUGAAACCGUAUGCGUACAAGCAGUGGGAGCCCCUUCGUGGGGUGACUGCGUACCUUUUGUAUAAUGGGUCAGCGAGUUAUUCUCAGUGGCAAGCUUAACCGAAUAGGGGAGGCGUAGCGAAAGCGAGUCUGAAUAGGGCGUUUGAGUCGCUGGGAAUAGACCCGAAACCGGGCGAGCUAUCCAUGGCCAGGCUGAAGGUGAGGUAAAACUUACUGGAGGGCCGAACCGGGAUCUGUUGAAAAAGAUUCGGAUGAGCUGUGGAUAGGAGUGAAAGGCUAAACAAGCUCGGAGAUAGCUGGUUCUCCUCGAAAGCUAUUUAGGUAGCGCCUCGUGUCUCACUCUCGGGGGUAGAGCACUGUUUCGGCUAGGGGGUCGUCUAGAUUUACCAAACCGAUGCAAACUCCGAAUACCGGGAAGUGCAAUCACGGGAGACACACGGCGGGUGAUAAGGUCCGUCGUGAAAAGGGAAAGAGCCCAGACCGCCAGCUAAGGUCCCCAAAUCAUGGCUCAGUGGAAAACGAUGUGGGAAGGCACAGACAGCCAGGAGGUUGGCUUAGAAGCAGCCAUCCUUUAAAGAAAGCGUAAUAGCUCACUGGUCGAGUCGGCCUGCGCGGAAGAUUCAACGGGGCUAAGCCAUGUACCGAAGCUGCGGAUUCACCUUUGAGGUGAGUGGUAGAGGAGCGUUCCGUAGGCCUGUGAAGGUCAAUUGAGAAGUUGGCUGGAGGUAUCGGAAGUGCGAAUGCUGACAUAAGUAACGACAAAACGGGUGAAAAACCCGUUCGCCGAAAGCCCAAGGUUUCCUGCGCAACGCUAAUCGGCGCAGGGUUAGUCGGCACCUAAGGCGAGGCCGAAAGGCGUAGUCGAUGGAAAACAGGUUAAUAGUCCUGUACCGGUUGCAACUGCGAUGGGGUGACGGAGAAGGCUAGGUCAGCCGGGUGUUGGACGUCCCGGUUUAAGCGUGUAGGAAGGUCUCUUAGGCAAAUCCGGGGGAUCAAUUCCGAGGCGUGAUGACGGUGCUGAAGGCGACUUCAGCCGAAGUGAUUGAUGCCAGGCUUCCAAGAAAAACCUCUAAGCUUCAGGUUGCAAGCGGCCGUACCAAAACCGACACAGGUGGGCAGGAUGAAAAUUCUCAGGCGCUUGAGAGAACUCGGGUGAAGGAACUAGGCAAAAUGGUACCGUAACUUCGGGAGAAGGUACGCCCCUGGUAGGUGAAGUGACGUGCUCAUGGAGCCGAAGGGGGUUGCAGUGAAACGGUGGCUGCGACUGUUUAUUAAAAACACAGCACUCUGCAAAGACGAAAGUCGACGUAUAGGGUGUGACGCCUGCCCGGUGCCGGAAGGUUAAUUGAUGGGGUCAGCGCAAGCGAAGCUCUUGAUCGAAGCCCCGGUAAACGGCGGCCGUAACUAUAACGGUCCUAAGGUAGCGAAAUUCCUUGUCGGGUAAGUUCCGACCUGCACGAAUGGCGUAACGAUGGCCACACUGUCUCCACCCGAGACUCAGUGAAAUUGAACUUGCUGUGAAGAUGCAGUGUACCCGCGGCUAGACGGAAAGACCCCGUGAACCUUUACUAUAGCUUUGCACUGGACUUUGAAUUGACUUGUGUAGGAUAGGUGGGAGGCUGAGAAGCUCGGACGCCAGUUCGGGUGGAGCCGACCUUGAAAUACCACCCUGGUGAAUUUGGAGUUCUAACCCAGGUCCGUGAUCCGGAUCGGGGACCGUGCAUGGUGGGUAGUUUGACUGGGGCGGUCUCCUCCCAAAGAGUAACGGAGGAGCACGAAGGUGCGCUCAGCGUGGUCGGAAAUCACGCAGAGAGUGUAAGGGCAAAAGCGCGCUUGACUGCGAGACGAACAAGUCGAGCAGGUACGAAAGUAGGUCCUAGUGAUCCGGUGGUUCUGUAUGGAAGGGCCAUCGCUCAACGGAUAAAAGGUACUCCGGGGAUAACAGGCUGAUACCGCCCAAGAGUUCAUAUCGACGGCGGUGUUUGGCACCUCGAUGUCGGCUCAUCACAUCCUGGGGCUGUAGCCGGUCCCAAGGGUAUGGCUGUUCGCCAUUUAAAGUGGUACGCGAGCUGGGUUUAGAACGUCGUGAGACAGUUCGGUCCCUAUCUGCCGUGGGCGUUGGAGAUUUGAGGGAAGUUGCUCCUAGUACGAGAGGACCGGAGUGAACGAACCGCUGGUGUUCCGGUUGUCAUGCCAAUGGCAUUGCCGGGUAGCUAUGUUCGGACAGGAUAACCGCUGAAAGCAUCUAAGCGGGAAGCCCCUCCCAAGAUGAGAUCUCCCUGGGACCUCGAGUCCCCUGAAGGGCCCUGGAAGACCACCAGGUUGAUAGGUCGGGUGUGGAAGUGCAGUAAUGCAUGAAGCUAACCGAUACUAAUGGCCCGUGAGGCUUGACCAUAUAACACCCAAGACGUUUGG
rnacentral:rRNA from 1 species